CAGGAGUGGAUCAGUCAUCAACACUAUGGACCUUAGCUUUGUAGGCCCACUUGCUCCUAAUAACACUCAGAUUACAAGCUCUUUGAUCAAAGCAGCUUCAAGCGUCAGCGGCUUUGACAUUGAAGGCAGCUCCAUCAGCGUGAAUGGCAUCUCUUCGGGUGGAGUAAGCCACAAAAUCAGUCUUGUCACUGCAGCCUGCCUGGUACUGUUGUCAUGGCUACUGUAAAGCAAGCAAUAAUAUCUGUGCUGAUUCCACUUUAAUUUAAAGUCAUGACACUAAUGACUGAUGUGAAAAGGGAAUCUGUUAGUAAAUAUCCAAAAGUAAUGAUUGCCUUAUUAAGGCUUUGAAAGCUUCAGAUAAAUUUACUAUCAAAUGUAACUUUGCAAAACCCCUAGAGAGGUAAAAGAAUUGUGCAAAACAAAAUA